GUCGAGAAUCUUCCGCAAUGCGCGAAAGCGUGACGGAGCGACACCGCGUGAUGGAUGAAGUCCUUCGGGGCGUAAACAUCUUUUAUAAAGGAGGAAAUUUUUGACGUUACUUUAUGAAUAAGGGGCUCCCAAUCUCGUGCCAGCAGGAGCGGUAAUACGAGAGCCUCAAGCGUUAUCCGGAAUCAUUGGGCGUAAAGGGUGCGUAGGUGGUUUGAUUAGUCUCCCGUUAAAACUUCGAGCUUAACUCGAAAAGAGCGGGGGAAACGGUCAAACUAGAGUAUGUGAGAGGUGUGUGGAACUCAUGGUGUAGGGGUGAAAUCCGUUGAUAUCAUGGGGAACACCAAAAGCGAAGGCAGCACACUGGCACAUCACUGACACUGAGGCACGAAACCUAAGGUAGCGAAUGGGAUUAGAAACCCUAGUAGUCC
rnacentral:rRNA from 1 species